rnacentral:tRNA from 4 species
UAAUGGCUCAGUUGGUUAGAGCGCCGCCCUGUCACGGCGGAGGUCGCGGGUUCGAGUCCCGCUUGG